CCACCAUCUCAACUUUACAAAAUUUCUGAUAACAGAACGAUGAUGCAAAGAUGAAUCUGAAACCUUCCAAACCCUUCGGGUUAAAAAGCCGAUUAUAUAGUCAACUUGCUGGAGGAGCUAAUUUUGCAGCGUUUACUUUAAAGUUAGCUCAAGUAAAGUACAAACUAACAGCUGCCCUGGAAAAUACAAAGCGAAAUGUCUCAUUUCAAAUUCAAGAUGGCUAUAUUCGAAAAAAUACACCCGGCUUUUGCAUGCCCGCGGCACCUCUUUAAACCGGACCUGUGACAGUAUUCAUUGCAUGCUUGGGGGUUAAUAGUUCCCAAAUUUCCAUCGAAUAAGUGGCAUGUAACCGACAGACAGAUAGAAAAGAUACAUAGAGAUCAGCAACCUGAAAUUUUCAAGAGAGUGAUUUUGCUAAUGCAUUUAAUGAAAAUUCG